rnacentral:rRNA from 1 species
AACGAACGCUGGCGGCAUGCCUAACACAUGCAAGUCGAACGAGACCUUCGGGUCUAUUGGCGCACGGGUGCGUAACGCGUGGGAACCUGCCCUUAGGUUCGGAAUAACUCCCCGAAAGGGGUGCUAAUACCGGAUAGUGUCUUCUGACCAAAGAUUUAUCGACUUUGGAUGGGCCCGCGUUGGAUUCGCUAGUUGGUAGGGUAAAAGCCUACCACGGCGACGAUCCGUAGCUGGUCUGAGAGGAUGCUCAGCCACACUGGGACUGAGACACGGUCCAGACUCCUACGGGAGGCAGCAGUAGGGAAUCUUGCGCAAGGGGCGAAAGCCUGACGGAGGAAUGCCGCGUGAGUGAUGAAGGUCUUCGGAUCGUAAAACUCUGUUAUUGGGGAGGAACAAAUGUGUAAGAAACUAUGCGCGUCUUGACGGUACCUAAUCAGAAAGCCACGGCUAACUACGUG